CCUGCGUGCGUGUGGACAAGCUUUUUUUCUGGCAGAAAAAGGGGCCGAGUGUUGCCAAUAUUCUGUUUAAUUCAAAGACCGUGAGAUUUUAAAAUUUCGCCAUGGGGAGAUACAGCAGUGAUGACGAUAAUAAUAGUGAUGACGAACGGGAGCGUACUCGCAUCUACAUUGGUGACAUCAACUCGGAGACGACCCGGACCGAUCUGGAGAGAAUUUUCAAGAAGUUUGGCUCGCUGUUUGAGGUCUGGCUUGCCCGUUACCCACCGCUGUUUGCGUUUGUCGCCUUCAAGAAAAGGCGAGAUGCUGAGGAUGCUGUCCGUGAGAUGAACGGGGAAACAAUUAAUGGGAGUCGAGUACAGGUCAAUAUCGCUCGUCCUCGUAACCGCGGACGGACCAGCUUUGGUCGUUCUAGUUUCCACGAUCCGGAGAUCCGAUGCUACCACUGUCAGGAACGAGGGCAUAUCGCUCGCCAUUGCACCAAAUUCACAUCCGGGUAUCGGCGCCAUUUCAGCAGCACUUCGGCUAGGAAUGAUUCAAGGCUGGUGUGUGGGCUUUUUGUUGAUGGUAACCAAUGGCAACGGUGUGAGUGGAUAUUUGGGAAAAUAUGUAAAAAGUGGCCGGCCAUGUUAAGAGUGUGGGUAUGGUGACCCAAAGUAGUAUGGUGAUUCUGAUUGGUAGAAUCAGCCACGAGAGGUUAGUUCUCCACUGUGAUUGGUUGGGAGCUAAGGACGAGCCCUGUGAUUGGUUGGUUGUGUGUUGGGAGUCUUGUUCCCCCGCGGUGAUCUUUUUGCAAAGAGUGUGUGUUUAAAAACUGAUGGUCUCGUUCCAGAUCCCCUGGGCCUGGUGGUCGCAACAAAGGUCGUCGCAGUAACAGCCGUGAACGAAUGAA